AUUGAACGCUGGCGGCAGGCCUAACACAUGCAAGUCGAGCGGCAGCACGGGUACUUGUACAUGGUGGCGAGCGGCGGACGGGUGCGUAAUGCCUAGGAAUCUGCCUAGUAGUGGGGGAUAACGUACGGAAACGGGCGCUAAUACCGCCUAAGUCCUACGGGAGAAAGUGAGGGAUCUUCGGAGCUCACGCUAUUAGAGGAGCAUAGGUCGGAAUAGCUAGUAGGUGAGGUAAUGGCUCACCAAGGCGACGAUCCGUAAUUGGUCUGAGAGGAUGAUCAGUCACACUGGAACUGAGAGACGGUCCAGACUCCUACGGGAGGCAGCAGUGGGGAAUAUUGGACAAUGGGCGAAAGCCUGAUCCAGCCAUGCCGCGUGUGUGAAGAAGGUCUUCGGAUUGUAAAGCACUUUAAGUUGGGAGGAAGGGUACUUACCUAAUACGUGAGUAUUUUGACGUUACCGACAGAAUAAGCACCGGCUAACUCUGUGCCAGCCGCCGCAGUAAAAC
rnacentral:rRNA from 1 species